UCAGUCGACUCCUACGGGGAGGCAGCAGUGGGGGAAUAUUGCACAAUGGGCGCAAGCCUGAUGCAGCCAUGCCGCGUGUAUGAAGAAGGCCUUCGGGUUGUAAAGUACUUUCAGCAGUGAGGAAGGCGGGUACGGUUAAUAGCGUGCUUGUUUGACGUUAGCUGCAGAAGAAGCACCGGCUAACUCCGUGCCAGCAGCCGCGGUAAUACGGAGGGUGCGAGCGUUAAUCGGAAUUACUGGGCGUAAAGCGCAUGCAGGUGGUUUGUUAAGUCAGAUGUGAAAGCCCGGGGCUCAACCUCGGAAUUGCAUUUGAAACUAGGCAGACUAGAGUACUGUAGAGGGGGGUAGGAAUUUCAGGUGUAGCGGUGAAAUGCGUAGAGAUCUGAAGGAAUACCGGUGGCGAAGGCGGCCCCCUGGACAGAUACUGACACUCAGAUGCGAAAGCGUGGGGAGCAAACAGGAUUAGAUACCCUGGUAG
rnacentral:rRNA from 1 species